AGUGUGCAAUUUGUUCUUUAGAGGAUGUGGCUGCAGUGAAGCCUGGAAAGGUGAAAGUCAGUGGAUAUGCGGCAUCAGGAGGUGGCCGUGGAAUUGAGAGAAUAGAUGUGUCUGUUGAUGGUGGCAAAACCUGGGUGGAAGCUUUUAGACAUCAGAAGACUGGUGUCCCUUAUAUCGCAGAUGAUAUGAACAGUGACAAAUGGGCAUGGGUACUUUUUGAGGUCAUAGUUGAUGUGUCACGCAGCACAGAGAUUGUUGCAAAAGCAGUGGAUUCAGCAGCAAAUGUCCAACCAGAAAAUGUACUAGAGAUUUGGAAUUUGAGAGGGAUACUUAACACUUCGUGGCAUCGUGUUAAAGUCCAAGUUGGUCACUCAAACAUGUAGACCAUGUUUGGGUUUGGUUUUCCAUAUCCAUAUGGUACUAGAAUAACAUUCCUAGUGCUUUGACAGUGCUGUUUACUAAGUUGCUUAAGCUUUUAUUUUUCAUAUGUACAGACAUGUUACCUUUUAGCAUCAGUGUGACUACCGCUCUUGACUUGUGAUAAUCAGUGUUGAUCAAAAUAACUUGUGGUAGGGGGAGCCUAGAAAAGCAGUCUCUCCAUUGUUGGACAAUGAACUAUGAUGUUAAAUUUUGUAAAAUAAUUACUGCUUGGUUAAUCGUUUUUGUUUUUUAAGGCACGGGG
rnacentral:misc_RNA from 1 species